GCAGUGAUGGUUCAGUGGUAGAGUUCUAGCUUUCCAAGCAGGAGACCAGGGUUUAAUUCCUGGCCAAUGUA
rnacentral:tRNA from 1 species